rnacentral:rRNA from 1 species
GACGAACGCUGGCGGCGUGCCUAAUACAUGCAAGUAGAACGCUGAAGGAGGAGCUUGCUCUUCUGGAUGAGUUGCGAACGGGUGAGUAACGCGUAGGUAACCUGCCUGGUAGCGGGGGAUAACUAUUGGAAACGAUAGCUAAUACCGCAUAACAGUAGAUGUUGCAUGACAUUUACUUAAAAGGUGCAAUUGCAUCACUACCAGAUGGACCUGCGUUGUAUUAGCUAGUUGGUGGGGUAACGGCUCACCAAGGCGACGAUACAUAGCCGACCUGAGAGGGUGAUCGGCCACACUGGGACUGAGACACGGCCCAGACUCCUACGGGAGGCAGCAGUAGGGAAUCUUCGGCAAUGGACGGAAGUCUGACCGAGCGACGCCGCGUGAGUGAAGAAGGUUUUCGGAUCGUAAAGCUCUGUUGUAAGAGAAGAACGAGUGUGAGAGUGGAAAGUUCACACUGUGACGGUAUCUUACCAGAAAGGGACGGCUAACUACGUG